AGAGUUAAUCCUGGCUAGAACGAACGCUGGCGGCAGGCUUAACACAUGCAAGUUGAGCGGGAUUAGAUUGGUAGCUUGCUACUGAUUUAUGAGAGCAGCGCACUGGUGAGUAACACGUGGGAACAUACCUUUUUGGUGGGGGACAACAGAGGGAAACUUCUGCUAAUACCGCAUAAGCCCUGAGGGGGAAAGAUUUAUUGCCGAAAGAUUGGCCCGCGGAAGAUUAGGUAGUUGGUGGGGUAACGGCCUACCAAGCCGACGAUCUAUAGCUGGUCUGAGAGGACGAUCAGCCACAUUGGGACUGAGACACGGCCCAGACUCCUACGGGAGGCAGCAGUGAGGAAUAUUGGGCAAUGGAGGCAACUCUGACCCAAGCCAUGCCGCGUGAGUGAAGAAGGUUUUCGGAUUGUAAAGCUCUUUCGGACGUGAAGAUGAUGACGGUAGCGUCUAAAGAAGCCCCGGCUAACUUCGUGCCAGCCGCAGC
rnacentral:rRNA from 1 species